rnacentral:misc_RNA from 1 species
GUGGUUGGGUGUAAGGUAAAGUGAGAGUGCAGGUAAGGUUUGCUAUGAUAUUGCACAUGUGUUCCUAGGAGUAACAACAUCAAAGUCUCACUUUCCAAAGCCUUCUCACAUCAUCCAUCAAGUAGGUGGACUGGUCAAGAAUUUUCACCACAUCUUCCCCUAACCCUCUCUAUGGUCAGCAAGACAUAAAAAGUGAAGGGUAAAUUUAAGGAUAUCAUUUAAGGUACCACAAUUAGGGAUUGAGUGCAGUUGUACAACACCUACGUUUCAGAGAACCAAAAUAACAUUAAUAGUGAAAAGAAGACAAGAAAUUGGUCAGAACUAUUGCAUUACCAACUUCAUUGGUUAUUUGUGUUUUCCACCAAAAUCUUGACAGACACAUCUAAAGUUGAAUAAACUUUAAAGAGACACUUCUGUACCAACAUUACUCACAAACUGCAGGCUAAUCCCUGUAUGCUGCCAGAGUGAACUGAUGGAUGACCAUGCUGACACAGCCAUAACUGGGAAGGCAGAACGAAGAAGGAACCGCCGACGUCUUGAAGUUGGAAGUAGAUAUCACACAACUGCGAUUGACAUCAAUGAUAUCAUGGCUGCCACAACCACCACAGGAAAUAAGUUAGCCCAGGAAAUUCAUGAUGAAUUUCUUACAUGUAAGAUCUGUCUGGAGGGCUUUAAAAACCCAAAAUGUUUAGACUGCUUGCAUACAUUUUGUGAACAGUGUAUUGAGAACCAUGUUAUGUCAGAAUGCACGUAUAAAAAAUAUAGUGACUAUCGUGAAUUCACAUGUCCAUUAUGUCGGAAACGAACCAAUCUUCCAAUCGGUGGUGUGAAAAAACUUCCAGAUAACUUUCUGGUCUCAAGUUUAGGAGAGGUGGUGGCACGACAAAGACCAUCCAAGUUUCCAUUCUGUGAUAUCUGUAAGAUGGUAAAUCGUAAACACAGAGAAGCAUCAUCAAAAUGUUUAGACUGUAAUAAGCUUCUCUGCAAACCAUGCGUGGAAUUGCAUAAAGAAACGAAAGUCACCAAGUCUCACAGUCUUUUCGAUGUGGAAAUUGAAAAAGAUAUUGAAUGCAAGGAACACAAGGAAGAAGUGGUUAGAUUCUACUGUGAGCCAUGCCAAGCUUGUAUUUGUGUCCUCUGUACAUUUAACGAACAUAAGGACCAUGAAAUUACAAAUUUCUCGGAUGCUGUCGUUAAAUAUAAAGAUAGUAUACAACGUCUCUUGGAAUCUUGCAAGGAUCGUAUUAAUGUAUAUGAUACUCAAAUUGAUACGCUUGGCAGAUGUGACACUUUGAUCAAAGAUGCUGAACAAAAAAUUCAUGAUGUAGCUAUCGCUUUUAUUGCUGAAAUUCGAUCUAAAGAGAAAAACUUGGUUGAAGAAUUGCAUUCAUUGUAUGGAUCUGAGGUGAUGGAAUAUAUUAACAGAAAAGUGGAAAUGCAAUCAAAUUUGGAAAGUCUGAGAAAUACAUGUAACUUGACAGAGUUAGUUCUGAAAGGGAAAGACAUUGAACUGCUCCUGCUUAAAAAUCAAGUGCAAGAAAAACUUUCAUGUCUGUCGGAAAUUGAGCUUAAGGAACUCCCUAAUACAGUGUGCAAGCAAAUUUUAUUUACUCCGGGAAGUAUAGAGCUGGGAACAAUUGAAGAUCCGGAUCGGCCGAAACCAAAAGUAUCGAUGCAACCUCGUCGGUCUUUAUCAGCGGCUGAUUACUGGAGAGAAAAGUCCCCCACUAGAGCGCCGCCAUCCUCUUCUACCUCGACGCAAACUGAAAAAGAAGACAAGAGCCAUAAGCUGAGGGAAGCGGCAAUACAGACGGAUGUUGAGGAAACUCCAGCCCCACCUGGAGCCGAUGAUAAGUCCAUCAGUACUGACAAAGUGGAGACUGAAGAGAAGGCUGUUAAUACUCGAUCCCGUAGUCUGCAGAGUUUAACCUAUCAGCUUCAACGCAACUCCAAGGAAGGAUCUCCGGAAAAUAAUGGUGAGCCACAAACACCCCCCGAGCCACAAUCUUCUCCUGUCAUCAAUCGCCGACACCAUCGACGCCGAAGAGAACGACCAAGAGCUAUGGAGGUGGGAGACGAACCGACAACCUACACAUCAGCUUGUGUAAUUUCAUCGGGAUGGGACUAUAUGCGUUAAAUAGAGCUUACAGAGUGACCCCAUCAAAGACAUCUGACCAAUAUUCUUUCAUGGAAGGACUCCGACUAAUCAUCUUGUAAUUAGAACUUUUGGAAGCCUGUCUCUUUAUUCCACGUGUGAUAGCAGUCUGAAACCAGGAGGUGUCAAAUAGUUUUCAUCCUUGAAUAUUGUCUGAUUCUGAAAAUAUCUUAGUUUGGACCAGUUGAUUGAUAUUUAUAGCAACCACUUAAUGGAAUACCCUACACUUGAAGUAGAUAUAUAUAUAUCUAUAUAUAUAUACACACACACUCAUAUAUUAUAUGGCUUGGAUAGCUUGAUCCUAUGUGACUGACUUACUUAGAAGCAAUCUGUCAUCUCUUGACAUCGGGCUGAGCUUCUGCAGGUCACGCCAACAGAACAAUAUCCAACGUUUGCCAAUUAUCAGAGAAAAGACCCUUAUGAUCCAGAUAUGUGGUAGGCGAUAUGAACUCAACAAUUUCUUAGACCUCCAUCUAGUGCUAUUUAUUUCUCAACAUUUGGCCACUGAGGAAUUUCCACAGUAAACUGCUAUUAGAGAGAAAGGAACAGGUGAAAAUUUGUUUCACUUUUAUCCUCUUCUCUAGGCUGUUUGACAUUCCAAGACUGGCACCAAUCUUUACCAAUGCAAGCUCUUGGGAUUUCAUCUACUGAUAAAUAUUUCUGAAGUUAACUUUACAACAUUUGCUCCUUCCAUUUUUGGAGUUCUUGCUGAAAUGAUCAAUCUGUACAGAACUCUGAAAUUUCUUGAAAUUCUUGUCUCCUUCUUUUUCUCCCAUUUUUUUUUUAAUUCAAUGAGAUCCACUCUUAGAAGAUUGUCAUCAAAAAGAAACAAACUUUAAAAUUAUUUUCAAGCUGCCCAAUUUUGGAUAAGAAAUAAUUUCAUUUAGAAAAUUGCUUCUAAAAGCAUCCAGAAAUAAGUAAAAUGUAACUGUCUCAGAUCUCUGCUGACAAAAAUUAAACAAAAAACAUUUAUUCUGCCAAAAUAUAUCUUAGAAUGAAGAACUCUUUAACAUAUCUUCAAAUGAUUAAUAGACGGGAAAUAAUUUUUUUAAUCUGAAUUUCUUCUAUUGAAGAAUUCUAUCUUUCAACUUGCUUCAAACACCAUUUUCCUCUGUCUCUUCACAGACUUCUACUUAGCUGAUUCAGCUUUCUCUCAGCCAAUAUUAUUUCUCAAUGACCCCGUCUGUUUAAUUUCGAAAACCUUUUUUGUCUUUUUCUUUCUCACCUUUUAAUAAUGUUGUUUUGUGUGUGCCUUUUGUUCUCUUGAUUUCAUUUUAUUUUUCUCGGCCACAAUAAUAAUAAUAAUAAACUGAUUACAACAAUCAAAAAAAAAUGGGAAAAACAUUAGUUUUUUUUUUGAUCCUUGGUUUUUCUCUAAUUAAAAAACAAAUCAUGCUUUCAUCUUUUGCCCUCCUAUCAUUAAAAACAAGAAAAACCAAAAACGGAUCUGUUCUGUGUGAGAUUUUGGCACAUCUAUGUUUCCCCUCUUUCAUUAGUCAGGGGCCUUUAACAAAUUAUUAUAAAAGUUUACUUAAAUUACAUGUUCCCCCACCACACAUUUGUAAUAACCUCCAGCCUCCCUGUGCACAUUAGUCUUUCUGAUAGGAACAUCUAUGUUUCAUGUACAAAUAAACGAAACUGCUUUGAAAACCAAAGAAAGAAACCAUCAGGCUAACUCAUCUGGAUAACAUAUUUGGGCAUUAUUUGAAAGCUUUAUGAAAACUUUAAGACACAUCAACAUUUCUUUGACAAAUUUCAUGUUUCUCUAAAGAUGGUGUCUUGAAUGCUAAUUUACAACUGCCUAAGUGUAGGGGCAUGUUAUUGAUCUUUCAAUAUUUUUCGCUGGAAUGACUCAAUAAAAUUCUUGUUUUGUCUCAUAAUGUCCAAAUGUCAACAAACUUUUUUACUUGCUGAAUUCUGAACAUUCUUCAAAUCCAAUCCAAAAUGAUUUUACCUGUGUGUCCAGGUGACACAAUUUUUAAAUAAUUAUUUUCUCAGCAAUAUUCCUCUUAUUUAGAUUUAAAUUACAAUGUAAAUAUUAAUGUUUUUGUUUUUCUUAAUUUGUUUAUUUGUUCGAUUAACUUUGAUAUGAUCGAUCAACUAGAUUUUUAGAUAAGAUUGUUAAUAUAUUCAAUUCUAUGCCUAUUUACAAACUGGAUUUAACAUAUUUCCUUAUUUAAUGUGCAGAAAUUCAGAAAUUAAAGAAUCACUAUUUCUUAAUUCAGCUGGAUUCCAUGAACUUGGUGCUUGAAGUUCUUGAUGAAUAUAUUGCAGCAGCUAUUGGAAAUAUCUGAAUGGUUUCUGUACAUGUUCAAUAAAGAAAUAUUUAAGACCUGUGAUUAAUUACAAAGCCAGUUCUUUGAGCAGAUUCACAUUAUGGCUGACCCUUUCUGCUAAAGUAAAUAUUUAGUGACCUUAUAGCAGCAGUCAUAAAAUUGCUAUCUCAAACGUUGGCACAUCUGGCUAACCCUCUGUCUCAAAAUAUUAAAGAGAUAGUGAAACAUACUCCUUAAUAUGAAGAAGUUUUAGGGUUUUUUUUUAAUUUUCUUGUAAAUGGGUCUAGAAUAACCUGCUAAACACCACACAACAAUCUUACCCUGAAAGAAUCAAUGUUUCAGGAAGAAAAAAAUAAAUAAAUAAAACUACUAAUUGUCCUCUCCAAUGAAGCGGGGAGGUCAUUUGGUAUUGGCUUGCCUCUUAAUGUCACAGGCAAAUGAACAAAAUGCUGUUUUUCUAAGGCCCUUUCAAGCAAAGACAAACAGUAGUACCACUAUUUAUUACAGAAUGUAUUUUCAUUGGCCUGUCAUCAUCAAUGUUCUGUUUUGCCUUUUAUAUGUUUUUUUUAAUCAAAAAUUAAUGAAAUAUUUUAGUAUUUGAUUAUCUGAAUAAUUAAUUUAUUGUCAUUAUUGAAAUAUUUAUAAUAAAGAACUUUAAAGUUUAAUUAUCUGAUAAUGUGGAGAUGAAAUUUUGGCAAAAUAAAUUCAAAAUAAACCUUAAUA